rnacentral:rRNA from 1 species
GACGAACGCUGGCGGCGUGCCUAAUACAUGCAAGUCGAACGCUGAAGGAGGAGCUUGCUCUUCUGGAUGAGUUGCGAACGGGUGAGUAACGCGUAGGUAACCUGCCUGGUAGCGGGGGAUAACUAUUGGAAACGAUAGCUAAUACCGCAUAACAGUAGAUGUUGCAUGACAUUUACUUAAAAGGUGCAAUUGCAUCACUACCAGAUGGACCUGCGUUGUAUUAGCUUGUUGGUGGGGUAACGGCUCACCAAGGCGACGAUACAGACCCGACCGGAGAGGGGGAUCGGCCACACUGGGACGGUGACACGGCCCAGACGCCUACGGGAGGCAGCAGUAGGGAAUCGUCGGCCAGGGACGGAAGACUGACCGAGCAACGCCGAGGGAGGGAAGAAGGUUGUCGGAUCGUAAAGCUCGGUUGUCAGAGAAGAACGAGUGUGAGAGUGGAAAGUACACACUGUGACGGUAUCUGACCAGAAAGGGACGGCUAACUACGUG